UCGCCCUGCCAUGAGCAUGCUAUGGCAGUGCAGAACUCUCAUCUCGUGCCACUCGUGCACGUUCAGGGGCGAGCCACAGCAGUACAGUUAGUCUUAUUUUAAAAGCGCCAGUUAAGCACCCUACCGACUGAAGCAAACAACAAAGCGAGCUGCAGCGGCCGGCGGGUGGAGCAACCAUAUUUUACUGCCACCAGUUUGCUACGCACCACCGGACGCUCCCAUCAAAGAGUACCAAAAAACAAAAGCAAUGUUAAGAAAAAAGAAACAAAGAGGUGCAUUCACACAGUCUAAGCCGUGAAAGCUGUCAAGGGCCCUCGGCGGCGGCCAGGCAAAGCAAAACAAAGCGACGCUGCAUGGGGAGAAGGGGGAGUCAAAUAAGUCAGGCACGGCUUCACGACCGGCGGCAAGCUUGGCGCGUGCAUCCGAGGAAGCACAUUCACGGAGCAGCGGCAGAGGCGUCGUCGUCGGGUCGGCGACCGCUGGCAGCUGAGGUCGCCCUUUCGCCCGGUGAGCUCGCGUCGAAGGAGGCGGCGACCGGUCGACCGGGGCUUCUGUUGUUGCAGACAGGCAGGCAGGCCCCUUCGUGGUUACCGAAAGGGGGAGGAGGGACGGCCGACAACCUCAGUUGCCAUGCAGGGAACAUCGCAGAAUUAACAUGGCUGCUGCGUGACGUAAAAUAAACCCGCCAUCGCCGGGCACCGUGACACGGAAAAUCCGGGAUCCAAUCGCAUCACGGAAGAAGAAUGGAACUCUGCCAUCCAGAGCUCAGAACUUUCACGGCAAACUUGGGCUGUCCAAAGAGCCCACGAUGCGGCGGUUAUCCUAGGCCAACCAGUAGCCCCGUGGGAACGGCCCGCAGCUCUGCUCUAGGGCGAAGCUUCUCAGGAUCUCUUAAAUAAAGUUCU